GUGCCAGCAGCCGCGGUAAUACGAAGGGGGCUAGCGUUGUUCGGAAUCACUGGGCGUAAAGCGCACGUAGGCGGACCAUUAAGUCAGGGGUGAAAGCCUGGAGCUCAACUCCAGAACUGCCUUUGAUACUGAUGGUCUCGAGUUCGGAAGAGGUUGGUGGAACUGCGAGUGUAGAGGUGAAAUUCGUAGAUAUUCGCAAGAACACCAGUGGCGAAGGCGGCCAACUGGUCCGAUACUGACGCUGAGGUGCGAAAGCGUGGGGAGCAAACAGGAUUAGAUACCCUAGUAGUCC
rnacentral:rRNA from 1 species